rnacentral:rRNA from 1 species
UACGUAGGGGGCGAGCGUUGUCCGGAUUCAUUGGGCGUAAAGGGUGUGUAGGCGGCGCGCUAAGUCGGGUGUGAAAUUUCGGAGCUUAACUCCGAAACUGCAUUCGAUACUGGCGUGCUUGAGGACUGGAGAGGAGAUUGGAAUUUACGGUGUAGCAGUGAAAUGCGUAGAUAUCGUAAGGAAGACCGGUGGCGAAGGCGGAUCUCUGGACAGUUACUGACACUGAGGCACGAAGGCCAGGGGAGCAAACGGG